rnacentral:rRNA from 1 species
CAGCCGCCGCGGUAAUACGAAGGGUGCAAGCGUUAAUCGGAAUUACUGGGCGUAAAGCGUGCGUAGGCGGUGAGUUAAGUCUGCUGUGAAAUCCCCGGGCUCAACCUGGGAAUGGCAGUGGAUACUGGCUCGCUAGAGUGUGUCAGAGGAUGGUGGAAUUCCCGGUGUAGCGGUGAAAUGCGUAGAGAUCGGGAGGAACAUCAGUGGCGAAGGCGACCAUCUGGGACAACACUGACGCUGAGGCACGAAAGCGUGGGGAGCAAACAGGAUUAGAUACCCCCGUAGUCCCUGUCUCUUAUAC